rnacentral:rRNA from 1 species
UACGGGGGGGGGUAAGCGUUGUUCGGAAUUACUGGGCGUAAAGGGCUCGUAGGCGGCCAACUAAGUCAGACGUGAAAUCCCUCAGCUUAACUGGGGAACUGCGUCUGAUACUGGAUGGCUUGGAUUGGGAGAGGAAUGCGGAAUUCCAGGUGUAGCGGUGAAAUGCGUAGAUAUCAGGAGGAACACCAGUGGCGAAGGCGGUGGUCUGGGCCGACACUGACGCUGGAUGCGCGAAAGCCAGGGGAGCGAACGGG